rnacentral:rRNA from 1 species
UACGAGUGCCCCGAGCGUUAUCCGGAAUCAUUGGGCGUAAAGGGUGUGUAGGUGGCAGUGUUAGUCACGCGUUAAAGCCUGGGGCUUAACCCCAGAUCUGCGUGUGAUACGGCACAGCUAGAGGAUGGCAGGGAUGUAUGGAACUCAUGGAGUAGGGGUGAAAUCCGUUGAUAUCAUGGGGAACACCAAAAGCGAAGGCAGUACAUUGGGCCACUCCUGACACUGAAACACGAAAGCGUGGGUAGCGAAGUGGG